AUGGACUUCUUCGACGCGGCCUUCCAGGGCGACCUUCCCCGCCUCAGGGAGCUGGCGAGCGGCAGGGACGCGGAGGGGAUGGCCUGGCUCGCCGAUGUGUGUCUAGUGGGCGCGGGCCCGAUGCAGACGGCGGCACGCUUGGGGAAACUGGACGCCGUCAGGUGCAUGGUGGAGGAGCUGGGCUUCGAUGUCAAUGCUGGCAGCCAAGCCGGUGUAACUGCUUUGGCUGCCGCUGCAGCAGAUGGAAGAAUGCGUGUUAUGAGGUACCUUCUGGACAAGGGGGCCGAUCCAAAUAAGCCAGCCAAUUCAGGCCAUUAUCCUCUUCACCAUGCUGCAAAACAUGGACGUGAUGAAGCAGCACGAUUGUUGCUAUCUAGAGGAGCUAGUAUUGAUGUAGCUUAUCUUGGUCUGACACCACUACAUUUCGCUGCUGGCUACGGGAUGAUUGGUGUCAUGAAAGUUCUGUUGGGCACCAUGCAGAUCCGAACAAGGUCUCAGAAGAGGGAAGUACUCCGCUGA
rnacentral:rRNA from 1 species